GCCCUCGGCCCAGCGGGGAUCCGCCCCCGUGCUCGCAGCAUCCUUCGCCUUCGCUUCGCGCCCCCUCCUCCCCUGGAGCCCUACGUCCCCGCCUUCCAGGGGAUGCCCAAGUUGCACUUGCAGAAAGUUUGUGCCGGGCCUGCGCGCGCAGCGCCCAGCGUUCCCAUGACGCGCCUUUCGGAGAGCGUGCGCCGGCACGCGGCCGCAGGGCGCAGGGUGGGUAAGGGCUGAGGACCACCCCCCCCCCCACCCCGGGACAAAGGGGGUUGGGGGAGAGCCCCCAACUUCAAAAACCUCCGCCUGACCGCACGCAGCGACUCCCCCAGCAGCAUCCAAACACUUUCUACCUCCUCCGUUGGAAGAGCCUUGGGCUGCUCUCCGGAAGAGGAAGGUGAACCGUGUGCCGGUCGUCAUACUUGUAGAGGUGAUGCUAGAAACUUCUUAUUUGGGAAGGACAUCCAGUCUGCCGGGCGCUCAAGUAGAGCGCAGAAUGAGGGAAGAUAUUAAAGUCUUAUUGGUUGCAAAACAACUUAAGUGAUUUGGCUCCGCAAGACACCAGGGGGGUAUAGAAGUCGUUAUGCCAGUUUCCGUCGGUGGAUUCAGCCCCAUAUUUCUGCGGUGGUGAUGGUUGUCAGGGCCGACUCUAAAACUCAUGCCCUUGUCUGCGCUUUUGCAGUGGAGAUGCUUGUAUGGAGACAGCAGCAACGUGGCCAUCUAUGGAAAUGCCCUUUCUGGGGUCAACAGGUGCUCCUGGGGAGCAUCGAUUUUCAGACUUCCCCUGUUGCACCCCGAAUCCCAACCUUCUCCCAGAGCCAAACAAAGGCAUGAGGAGGCUGAGGAGGUACAGAAAAUGCCGAGCUGGCCCGAACCCGGCAGCACCGCCGCGCUCAGCUGCCUUGAGGCAAUAGGACCCGGUCGCGAAGAUGCCUAGGCUGGCGCUUAUGGCUACCCGCUGCGCAAAAGGGGGAGGGAGGCUGUGACUGAGGCUCCCCGGCGCCCUCCGUUCGUCACUGAGCACAGCCAAGUUUCCUUGUGAUGGGUGUGGGCGAUUAAUAAACUUAAAGGAAGUGAAUUGGA